rnacentral:rRNA from 1 species
UCCAGACUCCUACGGGAGGCAGCAGUGGGGAAUAUUGGACAAUGGGGGGAACCCUGAUGCAGCGACGCCGCGUGGGUGAAGGAGCGUUUCGGCGCGUAAAGCCCUAUCGGCAGGGAAGAAGGAGGACGGUACCUGACUAAGAAGCCCCGGCUAACUACGUGCCAGCAGCCGCGGUAAUACGUAGGGGGCAAGCGUUAUCCGGAUUUACUGGGUGUAAAGGGGGCGCAGACGGCAGCGCAAGCCAGGAGUGAAAGCCCGGGGCCCAACCCCGGGACUGCUCUUGGAACUGCGCGGCUGGAGUGCAGGAGGGGCAGGCGGAAUUCCUGGUGUAGCGGUGAAAUGCGUAGAUAUCAGGAGGAACACCGGUGGCGAAGGCGGCCUGCUGGACUACGACUGACGUUGAGGCCCGAAAGCGUGGGGAGCAAACAGGAUUAGAUACCCGAGUA